rnacentral:tRNA from 1 species
UUAUAGGUGGUUCAGAUGGUAAAAAAUCUGCCUGCAAUGCAGGAGACCUAGGUUCAAUUCUUGGAUUGUGAA